GCCAGGCAUGGUGGCGCAUGCAUGUAAUCCCAGCAACUUGAGAGGCUGAGGCAGGAGGAUCAUGAGUUCAAAGCCAGCCUCAGCAAAAGCGAGGCCCUAAGCAACUUAGUAAGACCCUGUCUCUA
rnacentral:sRNA from 1 species